UACGUAGGGGGCUAGCGUUGUCCGGAAUCAUUGGGCGUAAAGCGCGUGUAGGCGGCCCGGUAAGUCCGCUGUGAAAGUCGGGGGCUCAACCCUCGGAUGCCGGUGGAUACUGUCGGGCUCGAGUACGGAAGAGGCGAGUGGAAUUCCUGGUGUAGCGGUGAAAUGCGCAGAUAUCAGGAGGAACACCAAUUGCGAAGGCAGCUCGCUGGGACUUUACUGACGCUGAGACGCGAAAGCGUGGGGAGCAAACAGG
rnacentral:rRNA from 1 species